UACGUAGGGUGCAAGCGUUAAUCGGAAUUACUGGGCGUAAAGCGUGCGCAGGCGGCUAUGCAAGACAGAGGUGAAAUCCCCGGGCUCAACCUGGGAACUGCCUUUGUGACCGCAUAGCUAGAGUACGGUAGAGGGGGAUGGAAUUCCGCGUGUAGCAGUGAAAUGCGUAGAUAUGCGGAGGAACACCGAUGGCGAAGGCAAUCCCCUGGACCUGUACUGACGCUCAUGCACGAAAGCGUGGGGAGCAAACAGG
rnacentral:rRNA from 1 species